UGGUUCUGGCACCGAUGAAGAACGCAGCGAAAUGCGAUAAGUAAUGCGAAUUGCAGAGUCCAGCGAGCCAUCGAGUCUUUGAACGCACAUUGCGCCCGCCGGUACCCCGGCGGGCACACCCGUCCGAGAGUCGCCAACACCACUCAGGCCUAAGCCUGGCGAUGGGGCGCUGCGAGCCGCAGGCCCCCGAUACCACCGGCGGAACCCGCCGCGUACGGGCCCAGUAACCUCGGGCCCCGCGCGACGGCGCCCUGCCUAACCCUCCAACUGUUGACCUCGGAUCGGGUGGGGAUACCCGCUGA
rnacentral:misc_RNA from 1 species